ACUGCCACACACAGCCCCAAGAUGGUUCUGGGUCCCCUGGCUAGGACAUUCAAUCAUGAAGUGAUUCCGAACACACUAACAAAGAAACACUUCACUUGGCUGCCAGACAGAGUGAUGUUUUUCUGAGGGACCUUCACAGAUGAGAUCCUCGGAUCACAAGACGUCAACGGGGAUUGGGGCAAAGCGUUGGUGCGACCGCGCCAGAGCCGUUUAGGGAACGGACGGACGAUGACUCUCUUAUAGGAGAGAUGUCUUUGUCAACAGACAAGUGGCCUGAUUCUUCAGCUCUGAGGUGGACAGUGAUGGGUCCAACGUUCCCAGAGCUGCCUACCCCUUCCACCAAGGAAAGAUGCUGUUGGUCAACCAAGAGCUGAAUCGUGCUGUUACACCAAGUCUACCAGAGCUUUCAGUCUCCAGAACUGGGGGAAACAAACUUGGUAUUAACAUACUGCUGGUCUAUAGUAUUUUGUUUCAGUGUCAACUGAGGAGACCAAGACAUCUCUGCAGCUGUGGGCAUUGUGCAGAAACUCAGUUUCCUUCGACUGUAAGAGGAUGCUGUGUGCCGUUUCUAAAAACCAUCUUUUUUAAGAGCCCGUUUUAAGAGCCACUUUAGCAUCCCCUAGUGGCCCACACAAUCACUCCUGUCUUUCUUUCAAGGCCUAGAUGACAGCAGUUCUGGAAGCUUCCACCUUCUUAUCUAGCAAAUUCAGGCUAGACAGUAGGCACCAGUGUUCCCGAACCAGGCUGAGCAACUGACUCUGGCUGGACCAGUCCAAAUGCUGGGCUCUAUAGGAUAAAACAAAUGAGUUGGAAAAUGGUUCUUUAGAGUCCAUCCCUGGACUGGACGGGUCCCUGGGUUUCAUUUGCAUGAUUUAGCAGAAGGAAACUUGAACUGAAGUGCACAUCGUAAUGCUAGGGGUUUGCUUUGGAUAACACAGCCUGACACACACAUCCCAGCUUACUGCCUUUGUGCCUCCAGAAAACACCACAGCAGUUACACAGACCUCAGUUUAAAUAGCUCCUCCGAGCCGCCAGUGUUCCAGGGUGACAAUGCAAUUGUGCUGUCAUUUGCAUAUGGUGUUCUGGUUGAAGGUAUGUUCCAGAUUUAUUGGGCAUUUUUAUUUACCUUCUGUGGCUGAGUUCUAAACCUCACUAUGUGCGACUUACAAAGAAAAAACUUGAGCAACAAGAACAUGCACAAGUAUGCAUGUCAUUAGACCUGUCGGGCACAGCAGAGUGGGCAACUCAGGGGCACAAGCUUGUGCUGUGAUGAAAUCUACAGUGUGUCUCUAAUAUGCAUGGAGCAGUUGACUCGAAGGGUGGGAGUCCUCUGAGCUGAGCUUCACGAGACUCUGCAAAAGACAACCUGUAUUCUUCACCUUCCAUCCCGGGCCAGCCAGGAAGCAGGGACCUGGCAGGUGAAGAAAGCGGUGCUGAUGUUUUCAGAAGGCGUGCUACCCCAGAGUACAGGACAGCAAGCAUCAUCCACCUCCUGAGCACGGAGAGCACAGUCUCAGCAAAUCACAUAUGCGCACACAGACAAACUCUUGCACACUCGCCCUAGGGGAGCUGCUGAGUGAGGGGGUACACAUGCACAUCCUUAGCUAGUCUGAUGAGUGACUUUGUCGGGUGACCUAUGGCUUUGCUGACUUCCUCAAGAUCUAGAGAUCCUGGAUGCAGGGCUGUAGAGAUGACUCCAUAGUUAAAGGCACUCAUUGAUCUUACAGAGGAUCUAGGUCUGGUUUCCAGCAUAGGUGAGAAUUCCUGGAAAGAACCUGUGUCUGCAAAGAUGGAGGGAUUGAUUGAUUAAUUGAUUGAUUGAUUAGAAUUGUAACUGCAAUGAUGUGGAGAGGUUGGAAGGUUGCAGGUUUAGAGCCUAAUGUAGAGCUGGUGUAAGCUGACAAAAUUACCAUUCUUUGCCAGCCUUUAUAUCAGUGAUAACAUCCUGAGAUUAAUAGAUAAAAAAAAAAACCUUUUUAAAAUUUAUUAAGUAAGCAGACCAAAGUAGCUUGCUUGCACAAACCCUAGGGAUGUUAUAAGAUAACUUAUGAGACCUAUAGGAGAGACUCCCAGUAUCUCUGUAAGAACC
rnacentral:sRNA from 1 species